rnacentral:rRNA from 1 species
GCGACGAUCAGUAGCUGGUCUGAGAGGAUGAUCAGCCACAUUGGGACUGAGACACGGCCCAAACUCCUACGGGAGGCAGCAGUGGGGAAUAUUGGACAAUGGGCGAAAGCCUGAUCCAGCCAUGCCGCGUGCAGGAUGAAGCAUCUAUGGUGUGUAAACUGCUUUUGUACGAGAAGAAACACUCCUACGUGUAGGAGCUUGACGGUAUCGUAAGAAUAAGGACCGGCUAACUCCGUGCCAGCAGCCGCGGUAAUACGGAGGGUCCAAGCGUUAUCCGGAAUCAUUGGGUUUAAAGGGUCCGUAGGCGGUUUAGUAAGUCAGUGGUGAAAGCCCAUCGCUCAACGGUGGAACGGCCAUUGAUACUGCUAAACUUGAAUUAUUAGGAAGUAACUAGAAUAUGUAGUGUAGCGGUGAAAUGCUUAGAUAUUACAUGGAAUACCAAUUGCGAAGGCAGGUUACUACUAAUGGAUUGACGCUGAUGGACGAAAGCGUGGGGAGCGAACAGGAUUAGAUACCCUGGUAGUCCACGCCGUAAACGAUGGAUACUAGCUGUUCGGAGCAAUCUGAGUGGCUAAGCGAAAGUGAUAAGUAUCCCACCUGGGGAGUACGUUCCCAAGAAUGAAACUCAAUUGAAUUGACGG